UGGGCGUGGCUAUGCUAAGUCUAAGAUUGCGGGACAUUUGCUGCUAUAAAUCUGACUGUGAUGAUACUUCUGUGAGAGGUAUGACUGUGACUCGACUACACCAAGUGGAUGAUGAUACUUCUAGUUCUGUGAGAGGUAUGACUGUGACUACACCAAGUGGAUGAUGAUACUUCUGUGAGAGAAAUUCCUUAAACUGGCAAGCUUGACAUGCGAGAACAAACGAAACAAACAGACGAAUGGAUAGAAGUUGUUGGAUAUCCUCUCGGUGAUUGAUAAUACACGGUAAUAAUUAAUAUCAAUAACAAUGAUGUAUUUACUAUUAUAGGUGGACUCUGCGUGGUCAAGAGUGAUCGGUCUGCUAUACUUGGAGUCCAGUAUGUUACACCAAGGAGAUUAACUAUUCCUUGGGCUAAUUAAUUUAAAACUGUCCUUCUAAUUUAACAUUGUAUACCAUUGUCUCACUCAGUUGUCACGAACGUUUCCUAUCACUAUUUUUGUAUUAACAUGUUAUUUAUUGAAUUGAAUAAUAAUUGUUAUACCGA